rnacentral:rRNA from 1 species
GAUCAUGGCUCAGGAUGAACGCUGGCGGCGUGCUUAACACAUGCAAGUCGAGCGAAGCACUCUGCUUUGAUUCUUACGGGAUGAAGAGCAUUGUGACUGAGCGGCGGACGGGUGAGGUAACGCGUGGGUAACCUGCCUCAUACAGGGGGGAUAACAGUUAGAAAUGGCUGCUAAUACCGCAUAAGACCACAGCACCGCAUGGUGCAGGGGUAAAACUCCGGUGGU